rnacentral:rRNA from 1 species
UACGUAGGGUGCAAGCGUUGUCCGGAAUUAUUGGGCGUAAAGAGCUCGUAGGCGGUCUGUCGCGUCGGCUGUGAAAACCCGGAGCUCAACUCCGGGCCUGCAGUCGAUACGGGCAAACUGGAGUGUUGCAGGGGAGACUGGAAUUCCUGGUGUAGCGGUGAAAUGCGCAGAUAUCAGGAGGAACACCGGUGGCGAAGGCGUGUCUCUGGGCCGAUACUGACGCUGAGGAGCGAAAGCGUGGGGAGCGAACAGG